rnacentral:piRNA from 1 species
UUCUAGCUCGAGCUGUUUACUCGUUUGG